rfam:Jatropha curcas cultivar GZQX0401 scaffold905_18, whole genome shotgun sequence.
GAAUGGCUAUGAUGAUUAGUAUCCAGCUUUAAUGCCAGUUCUGCUUCAGAAAAUUCUUGAUUGAUAGAGCUGUUUAUGAUUCUGAGCCUUCU